CCAAACUGGGAUUAGAUACCCCACUAUGCUCAGCCCUAAACAUAAAUAAUUAUCACAACAAAAUUAUCUGCCAGAGAACUACUAGCAAUAGCUUAAAACUCAAAGGACUUGGCGGUGCUUUACAUCCCUCUAGAGGAGCCUGUUCUAUAAUCGAUAAACCCCGAUAGACCUCACCACUUCUAGCUUAAUCAGUCUAUAUACCGCCAUCUUCAGCAAACCCUUAAAGGGAAGAAAAGUAAGCACAAUAAUAUUACAUAAAAAAGUUAGGUCAAGGUGUAACCUAUGAAGUGGGAAGAAAUGGGCUACAUUUUCUAACCAAGAACACACUCACGAAAGUUUUUAUGAAAACUAAAAACUAAAGGUGGAUUUAGUAGUAAAUUAAGAAUAGAGAGCUUAAUUGAAUAGGGCCAUGAAGCACGCACACACCGCCCGUCACCCUCC
rnacentral:rRNA from 1 species